GUCUUUCUGGCCCUAUCUCUCAACAUCUCUAUCUCUGAGUCUGUAACUGUCUCUCUGGUUCUCCUGUCUGAGUAGGUGUUUCUCUCCGCAACCCCGCGUUUGUCUCUGUGUGCUCUGUUCCGUCUCUGUCUCUCUCUUUUGUCUCUUUGUGUCUGUCACCAUCUCUCUGCCUCUCAGUUGCUGUCUGCUUCUCUGUCUCUCAGGAGGCCUUGGCAUCUCUGGGACGGGGUUUGGAAUCUCGGUUCCCACUUACUCGCUGGGUGACCUUGGCCAAACACUUCCCCUCUCUGAGCCGUUUCCUCCUUAGUGGGAGUGAAGAGACGCACCCGGGGCAGGGACUGGCACUCGGCAGGCGGCCAGGAACGAUUCCUCUCCCUCCCCUCUUCCAUCUCUGCCACUCCACGUGCCUCAUCAGCUGUGGGUCUAAAGGGGCUGGGGGUGGGGUGAGGGUGGGGAGCGCUCCACUGAUUGUGUCUCUGCACUCGUUGGGGGCCCUGCCCCCAGCCGGGGCCCGCGGGGCACCGGGGUGGGUGCUCGGAAAAUCCUAGGUGCACAGAGAGAAAGAGACAUGGAGACAGGCGCAGAGAUCUUGAGAGAAAGAGAGAUAGCAAGAGACACGGACACCAGGCCAGAGUCAGCGCGACCGAGGCCGGUGCUGCAGGAGCGGGGAGCAGUUUGGCUUCCCCCCGACUUCCCCUCCCACCUCGAGGAGGGGUUGAUGGGUGGGGAACAGGCUAGGCGGGUUGGGGGCAUGACUCAGGCUGGAGAUG
rnacentral:lncRNA from 10 species